rnacentral:rRNA from 1 species
AUUGAACGCUGGCGGCAUGCCUUACACAUGCAAGUCGAACGGUAACAGAUCUUCGGAUGCUGACGAGUGGCGAACGGGUGAGUAAUACAUCGGAACGUGCCUAGUAGUGGGGGAUAACUACUCGAAAGAGUGGCUAAUACCGCAUGAGAUCUACGGAUGAAAGCAGGGGAUCGCAAGACCUUGUGCUACUAGAGCGGCCGAUGGCAGAUUAGGUAGUUGGUGGGAUAAAAGCUUACCAAGCCGACGAUCUGUAGCUGGUCUGAGAGGACGAUCAGCCACACUGGGACUGGGACACGGCCCAGACUCCUACGGGAGGCAGCAGUGGGGAAUUUUGGACAAUGGGCGCAAGCCUGAUCCAGCAAUGCCGCGUGCAGGAUGAAGGCCUUCGGGUUGUAAACUGCUUUUGUACGGAACGAAAAGCCCUGGGUUAAUACCCUGGGGUCAUGACGGUACCGUAAGAAUAAGCACCGGCUAACUACGUGCCAGCAGCCGCCGUAAUAC